rnacentral:rRNA from 1 species
GAUGAACGCUAGCGACAGGCUUAACACAUGCAAGUCGAGGGGCAGCAGGGGAGUAGCAAUACUCCCGCUGGCGACCGGCGCACGGGUGAGUAACACGUAUGCAACCUGCCCUUGUCAGGGGGAUAAGCGGAAGAAAUUCCGUCUAAUACCGCAUAAUGCUGCGGGGAGACAUCUCCCUGCAGCCAAAGAUUUAUCGGACAAGGAUGGGCAUGCGGCGCAUUAGCUUGUUGGCGGGGUAACGGCCCACCAAGGCGACGAUGCGUAGGGGUUCUGAGAGGAAGGUCCCCCACACUGGUACUGAGACACGGACCAGACUCCUACGGGAGGCAGCAGUGAGGAAUAUUGGUCAAUGGCCGGGAGGCUGAACCAGCCAAGUCGCGUGAGGGAAGACGGUCCUAUGGAUUGUAAACCUCUUUUGUCAGGGAGCAAAAACUGCCACGUGUGGCAGGAUGAGAGUACCUGAAGAAAAAGCAUCGGCUAACUCCGUGCCAGCAGCCGCGGUAAUACGGAGGAUGCGAGCGUUAUCCGGAUUUAUUGGGUUUAAAGGGUGCGUAGGCGGACAGUUAAGUCAGCGGUAAAAUUGAGAGGCUCAACCUCUUCCCGCCGUUGAAACUGAUUGUCUUGAGUGGGCGAGAAGUAUGCGGAAUGCGUGGUGUAGCGGUGAAAUGCAUAGAUAUCACGCAGAACUCCGAUUGCGAAGGCAGCAUACCGGCGCCCAACUGACGCUGAAGCACGAAAGCGUGGGUAUCGAACAGGAUUAGAUACCCUGGUAGUCCACGCAGUAAACGAUGAAUACUAAUUGUUCGGGUCAAAUGAGAUCUGAGUGAUACAGCGAAAGCGUUAAGUAUUCCACCUGGGGAGUACGCCGGCAACGGUGAAACUCAAAGGAAUUGACGGGGGCCCGCACAAGCGGAGGAACAUGUGGUUUAAUUCGAUGAUACGCGAGGAACCUUACCCGGGCUCAAACGACACAGGAAUGAUCUGAGAAAUCAGGCAGUCCUCCGGGACCUGUGUCGAGGUGCUGCAUGGUUGUCGUCAGCUCGUGCCGUGAGGUGUCGGCUUAAGUGCCAUAACGAGCGCAACCCCCAUCGACAGUUGCCAGCAGGUCAAGCUGGGCACUCUGUCGAGACUGCCGGCGCAAGCUGUGAGGAAGGCGGGGAUGACGUCAAAUCAGCACGGCCCUUACGUCCGGGGCGACACACGUGUUACGAUGGCAGGUACAGCGGGAAGCCGCCUGGCGACAGGGAGCGGAACCCGAAAGCCUGUCUCAGUUCGGAUUGGAGUCUGCAACUCGACUCCAUGAAGCUGGAUUCGCUAGUAAUCGCGCAUCAGCCACGGCGCGGUGAAUACGUUCCCGGGCCU